GACGAAUUUGACACUAUCCUACCCAACGCUGGAGACAUUCUUCAGCCAAGAUGGUUGACAAAAAUACUAGGAUGGAAGCAAAUUUCAGAUGCGGGAGGGGUUUACCGACACAGCUGAUAUAACCUAGAGGAUUUAGGGAGAAGAAGUCUGUGAAGUGAAGGAGACUGAUAUUGAGAAAAGGACCUGAGCCCUAGGACCAUGCCCCAGGACUACCUGACAUGAUGACUCCUUGCUGUCCCC